rnacentral:rRNA from 1 species
UCAAGAUAAGAUUUCCCACCGCAAGGGUAAGACCCCAGAAAGACUAUCUGGUUGAUAGGUCGAAGGUGUAAGUGCAGCAAUGUAUUUAGCUUAUCGAUACUAAUAGGUCGAGGACUUGACCAAUAUUUAUUUGAUGUUCAUUCACU